rnacentral:rRNA from 1 species
GACGUAGGGCGCGAGCGUUGUCCGGAUUUAUUGGGCGUAAAGAGCUCGUAGGCGGCUUGUCGCGUCGACUGUGAAAACCCGCGGCUCAACCGUGUGGUCUGCAGUCGAUACGGGCAGGCUAGAGUUCGGUAGGGGAGACUGGAAUUCCUGGUGUAGCGGUGAAAUGCGCAGAUAUCAGGAAGAACACCAAUGGCGAAGGCAGCUCUCUGGGACGGUACUGACGCUGAGACGCGAAAGCGUGGGGAGCGAACAGG